AAAAAAAAUCUGAAAUAUUCUUCUCUAGUUUCUUCUUCUCUUCUGAAAUUUUGAAUUGAAUCUGUCUUUUGUGAUGUCAUUCUUGCAGUGAGGAAGCAAGGUAGCAAGAGUUACAAUUGACAGCUAGCAGACACUGGAAUGAACCUGGCUGACAGAAGGUUGCAAUCUCAGGAUUCGGUUGAGCACCAGUUUUUCUCAGCCACAGGCAUACAUCAAUGACAGAUAAAAUAACCUAAACAAUUUUUGCCACAGAAG
rnacentral:lncRNA from 1 species